rnacentral:rRNA from 1 species
UACGUAGGGGCGAGCGUUGUCCGGAAUUACUGGGCGUAAAGGGCGCGUAGGCGGUUAUCCAAGUCAGGGGUGAAAACCUUGGGCUCAACUCAGGGCCUGCCUCUGAAACUGGGUAACUUGAGGGCAGGAGAGGGGAGUGGAAUUCCCAGUGUAGCGGUGAAAUGCGUAGAUAUUGGGAGGAACACCAGUGGCGAAGGCGACUUCCUGGCACAAUACUGACGCUCAUGUGCGAAAGCUAGGGUAGCGAACGGGAUUAGAUACCCCUGUAGUCCCUGAGCGGG